CCUCGCUUGGUGUUAGGGCCUACCGGUAACGGUAGCUCUUAAAAUCAGUGGCGGUGCCUUCUGGCCCUGAGCGUAGUAAUACCCCUCGCUACAGGUCCCGGUCGGUGUCUGCCAGCUAACCCCCAACUCUUAAAGGUUGACCUCGGAUCAGGUAGGGAUACCCGCUGAACUUAAGCAUAUCAAUAAGCGGAGGAAAAGAAACCAACAGGGAUUGCCUUAGUAACGGCGAGUGAAGCGGCAACAGCUCAAAUUUGAAAUCUGGCCCUUUUAGGGUCCGAGUUGUAAUUCGUAGAAGAUGCUUCGGGUGCGGCCCUGGUCUAAGUUCCUUGGAAUAGGACGUCAUAGAGGGUGAGAAUCCCGUAUGUGACCGGGUGCGGCUGCCUAUGUGAAGCUCUUUCGACGAGUCGAGUUGUUUGGGAAUGCAGCUCAAAAUGGGUGGUAAAUUUCAUCUAAAGCUAAAUAUUGGCCAGAGACCGAUAGCGCACAAGUAGAGUGAUCGAAAGAUGAAAAGCACUUUGGAAAGGGAGUUAAACAGUACGUGAAAUUGUUGAAAGGGAAGCGCUUGCAACCAGACUUGCGCGCGGUCGAUCAACUUGGGCUCUCCCGGGUGCACUCGACCGCGCUCAGGCCAGCAUCGGUUUCGGUGGUUGGAUAAAGGCCUUGGGAAUGUGACUCCUCU
rnacentral:rRNA from 1 species